rnacentral:rRNA from 1 species
AUUGAACGCUGGCGGCAGGCCUAACACAUGCAAGUCGAGCGGAGCGGCGGACGGGUGCGUAAUGGCUAGGAAUAUUCCUGGUAGUGGUGGAUAACGUCCGAAAACGGGCGCUAAUACCGCAUACUAGCAGAUGAGCCUAGGUCGGUUUAGCUAGUUGGGGGGGUAGAGGCCUACCAAGGCCACGAUACGUAACUGGUCUGAGAGGAUGAUCAGUCACACUGGAACUGAGACACGGUCCAGACUCCUACGGGAGGCAGAAGUGGGGAAUAUUGGACAAUGGGCGAAAGCCUGAGCCAGCCAUGCCGCGUGUGUGAAGAAGGUCUUCGGAUGGUAAAGCACUUUAAGUUGGGAGGCGGUACCAACAGAAUAAGCACCGGCUAACUUCGUGCCAGCAGCCGCGGUAAUAC